CAGAGGCCACCGGCGACAGUACCCACCGUUUGGACCAUCAAUUCCGGCGUCACUUUUCCGGCUAGGUUUCCGUCGAUUCACAAUAUUUUGAAUCGGAAAAAUCCGGUUUCGACGAAGGUUCAUAUUAUAAGAUGAACAGGAGGAAGAAAGAUUUCGGGAUAGGAGACAAUGAAAGCGAAUUCUACGAUGGAAAGAUGAAAAAGUCAAUGUCGUCGGCAUCUAUGACAUCAUCGGUGAAAGAGGAUAUGGAACCUGUGCAGUGUAGGUGCGGACAUACAAGCCCAAUUAUAACAUCCACUACUAUAAAAAAUCCUGGGAGGCGAUUCUAUGGGUGUGCUAUGUAUGACCGUAAAAAGAAAGCUGGCCAAUGUCCUUUUUUCCAAUGGUAUGACAAAGAAACCUGUGCUCGCGGAAGGGAUGUCCUACCUGCGC